rnacentral:rRNA from 1 species
AUUGAACGCUGGCGGCAGGCUUAACACAUGCAAGUCGAGCGCGCGGCGGACGUGUGAGUAAUGUCUGUGAACCUGCCUGAUGGAGGGGGAUAACUCCUGGAAACGGUAGCUAAUACCGCAUACCAUCAGAUGUGCCCUGAUGGGAUUAGCUAGUAGGUGGGGUAAUGGCUCACCUAGGCGACGAUCCCUAGCUGGUCUGAGAGGAUGACCAGCCACACUGGAACUGAGACACGGGCCAGACUCCUACGGGAGGCAGCAGUGGGGAAUAUUGCACAAUGGGCGAAAGCCUGAUGCAGCCAUGCCGAGUGUGUGAAGAAGGCCUUCGGGUUGUAAAGCACUUUCAGCGAGGAGGCGUUACUCGCAGAAGAAGCACCGGCUAACUCCGUGCCAGCAGCCGCGGUAAUAC